rnacentral:rRNA from 1 species
AGUGAACGCUGGCGGCAGGCCUAAUACAUGCAAGUCGAACGGCAGCACAGCAGAGCUUGCUCUGUGGGUGGCGAGUGGCGGACGGGUGAGGAAUACAUGGGAAUCUGCCCAGUCGUGGGGGAUAACGUAGGGAAACUUACGCUAAUACCGCAUGCGCCCUUCGGGGGAAAGCCGGGGAUCUUCGGACCUCUCGCUAUCAG